GGUGUCUUGUGACUUUUGGAUAAACAUUACACAGGGGAGGAAUUAAUGUUUAAUGCCUCCCUGCUAAACUCAAUUUCACAGUUACUCUUUUUUUCAGACCAGGGUAACUUCAUCAAAGGCUUUGCUGUGUGCACACACCUCUUCUAAAAACUACUAAGAGAUGAUGACAAACCGCAGAAAAUUUCGAUGUGGAAGGAAGCGUGAAAGAAGACCAGGAAAUGAUAACAAUGCUUAAAGUCAGAUAUCUGUUUUUGGAUGGGAUCACUCUUGAAGACUGCCAACACUACCACGCCAAAACAUGCACUUUGUGCCUAUCUUUAACUUGUACAGAAAAGGCUGUCAUUUCUUUAUGUAAUAAUGCUUUUGGAACACUGUGGGAUGGAGAUGGUGGCAGCUUUUAAUAAUCAUAAUGAAUUUCUUGUAUUUAACUUCAAUCUGUAGAACAUAGUCAUGUAGAACAAGAUUCAGAUCAGAUAAUAAAUUGUAAGGGGACAAGGUGGCAGAAUACGACUGUACAGUAUGGUGAGAUAGGAAGUAAGAGCUUGCAUAUCUCUAGUUAACUGUAUGUUAACACAAGCCAGAGAACAUCUACUUCUCUGAUGUCUUACCUUUAACCAGAUCAUUACACAAGGACUAUGGCUUGGCUUACCCAAGACAAAUGUACACUUGCUAUGUUUUUAUUAAUAUUCUUAGUAUUGAUUUUUCAUGGGCAUAUGGAAAAUGGGCAGCUGCAGUCACUUCCAUCACUCAAGGGAUUCAGCCUGCAAGAGUUACCAAAACUAUUGGAGUCACUGGGCAAAAGGGGAAAAGUACCCCAAGUCAGGGCUUUGCCUAAUCAAUGUUUUUACUUAUCUGUGUUUAAUAUUUUCCAACAAUAAAUCAGAUGGGAGAGUAUUAUGCAUCCCAGUCAAAGAUGACAGUCAUCAUGACAGACAGACUCUAUGAUAUUUCUAUUACAGCUGGGUUGACAAUUCAGCAGUAUUUACAGCAUUGUUAUCACAUUUUACAGUUACAAAUCAGAUGCCUGACUGAAGUUAUAACCCUACAUUUCAAAAUGUGCAAGAGGGUAGAACAUGUGACAUGUCUUAAAGUAUAGCACUUAGGUUAGCAUUGCACCUCUGUUUCCAUUUUAACAUGACUACAUAUUUGAAUGCCUUGUGUUAGUGUGACCUGGGGCAUAUUAACCCAAAAAUCAAAUGCUUCCAUAAUCAUUUCAAGAGGGGCAGAUUUGGUACAUGUCUGUGUCCUCAUUCACUCUCCAUCCCCACCAACUCGUAAUUACCCAAUUACAGCCUGCUAUCAUUUAAAUAUACAGGAUAGUACAGGAGAAAGAUGUGUGCUCACACCUAUCUCAUGUUGCUGAUGUGGUUUUGAAGUGAAAUGGAAAAAACAUUGCUUCCUGUUUAUGAACUCCCUGUGUUUGAGUGGGAAGUAACUUUAACACUUCAUUUUUUUUUGGAGUUUAGAUGCACUACCAUUUGAACUAGCCCUCCUUUUCUUAAAGACAGGCUUUACUUAGUUUGUAUAUAGUUUUCUAUUAAUUUUGAUGGUUUGCAAAGUUUUAAAACAGGGCAAAGAAUAUUGACCAGUUUGUUUUUCCGCAUUAUACUCUUUGAGAUUUUUCUAUUAUAGAAAAAAUAUAUAUAAGCAUCUUCCACCUAUACAAUGGUGCUAUUUACCUAAAACUCUAAAACUACAGUUAAACAUGACCUUUUUGUUCCUCGUUUACUUUUUCUCAACCAGGCAGAUUUAAAUUAAAUAGCAAUGGGUGAUGUGUGGCUUAACCAGUUUGCAUUAGAAGUGAAUCAUUUCAAUAAUUCAGUCAAGAAAAUAUUUCAAGAGGUAGUAUACAUUGAAUGCAAUGCGUACUUGUACAGCGAUCACCAAGUGCAUAAACAUUGUUUUCAGGUGAUACUGCUGAUGGAGAAGUCCCCUUGCUUUGCAGCAACUUCAGAGCUGAUAAGAGUAAGUAAGGAGGCACAGAGGGUAAAACUCUCUGCAAUGUGGUGUGGAGGUUUUGUUCCCCUUGCAAAUGUAGGAUCCUUAUUCUUUUUUCUGAAUUCAAGUGAAAUUUGGAAUCUUAAUAUUCAUGAUUAUGACAGAGCCAGAAUAAGAAAACAUAUCUGAAUUAACAGGCAUUUGUCCUACCCCAUUAGUAUUUUGCUCCUGAGCUUAGCACAAUACAAAACUGCUAUGAACACUGUUGCUCUCCAUUGUUUUUUUCCAUGGUUCACGGUUCUAGCCUUAUUUCUACAUUCCAUCCUACUUCACCCCAUCAAACAUGACAGUUAACAAAGCAGUAAACAUACACUUACAAAGAAUUACUACUCUAUGUCUCACUCUCUGCAGUUAUUCCCACUCAUAGUACGAUGAGCAGUAUGUCACAAAGAAAAAUGCUUUCUAACCCACUCAUGGCAAUAUCCUCAAAACUACAAUGACCAGACCCUGGCAGAUAAUACUACUCUUAACCUUGUUCAUGCCAGCAAACCAUUGUCCUCAUUGCAGGUAAGUCACCAGAUACACCACUGCUAUCUUAGCCAUUGCACACUUUCUCCCAGUAUGGAAUGACCACUAACAAGUGCCCAUCUAUACUUCCAAAUGCACCUGUUACCUUCUGUUUGUCUACCCCCUUAUCAUCUACAUUGCAUUGGCUUUCAUUCACCGGACACUGUCUGGUGCCUGGCAAAGAACAAUAUUCUCAGUGUCACUAAUGCUUUGUAUUUAUUAUACUCUUCCUACCACAACUGCCAGUAGGACAGUGACCAAUACAUAAGACUGGAGGAUGUGUUCCAUCCCAUACCCAUGACACCAUCACCAUAAUCAUACAGACUUGUUUCCAUUACCAGACACAGAAAACUACUGCUGACCUUAACCAUGAUAAUGUGAUCCCACCACCAAAUAUGUUAAUAUCCCAAGGAGUAAUAUGCAGCUGUACAUAAAAACCUUCCCACCACCCCAUCUCUGACAUCUUCACCUUAAUUACACAGAAAAGUGUACCAGAUACAGAAAACUCCUAUUACUCUUGUCCAAGAUAAUCUAAUCACAUUGUCAAAGUGU